AAACAUGAGAGUUUGAUCCUGGCUCAGAACGAACGCUGGCGGCAGGCCUAAAACAUGCAAGUUGAACGGCUGUAGCAAUACAGCAGUAGCGCAAGGGUGAGUAAUGUAUGGGAACGUAUCUUUUGGUGGGGAAUAUUCUUUGGAAACGAAGAGCAAUACCGCAUAAGCCCUACGGGGGAAAGAUUUAUCGCCGAUUGAGCGGCCCAUAUUGGAUUAGCUAGUUGGUUAGGUAACGGCUGACCAAGGCUGUGAUCCAUAGCUGGUCUGAGAGGACGAUCAGCCAC
rnacentral:rRNA from 1 species